rnacentral:tRNA from 1 species
GCCUAGUUGGCUUAGUGGGUUACCGCGUCUGCCUUCUAAGCGCUAGGUCGCGGGUUCGAUUCCCGCCCGGGGCA